CGAGCAUUAUAUAUUAACAAAAUCAAUUAAAAUUCAUUCGGAUUGAACAAUCAAAAAUUUUCAAAUAACUUAUAAUCUGCAAAUUUUCCCAGUAAUCGCUUAUGUAGGAACUCUUGAAUUCUUUGUCACAAAUCAUAGUCAUAACUCACAAAUAAUAAAUCAAAAAAUGAAUUAAAAGGACAAAAAACAACAAAAAAAUCUUGACCAGAGGCUCGCUGUCACGAGUCAUUGAGAUCGGAGAUGCUCGAUGUUGGCUAUGACUCAACGGUAGACGACGGUAGGUAAGGGCAAGGGGCUAAGUGACCACUGGUGAGUGCACAUGCAACGGGAGGGAGAAAGUUCAGUAGGGUUUGCCUUUCGUGAAUUUGAAAUUGG
rnacentral:lncRNA from 1 species